GCAGAGUCAUUUUGGAUUCCGGUUUCUUGAGCCUGACUCCGGUCAAGAUUCAUUCGCCAGAGCACCUCCUGGUGUCGCAGCCCCCCGCUUCCAACACCUACUGGUUAUCCCAAGGAAAAGCCAAACCACACCGGUACUGACACUACAAGAGUAAAUGCAUGAGAGGAAAACAAAAUCAUAGCAGCUGGAAUAUACUGGAUAUGCUCUUCUUUUUCUGUGCCACCAUUAUAUUAUGGCAUGCUUAUGUAGAGAAAGCAGGAUACCGUUGCCAAUGAGCUCCUUUUCCAGGAGGGAUAGAGUCAUUCCAGGACAAAAACUAGCAAGGAUUGCUCCGCUGGAUCGCAAAGUGUUACGGUGGCUGAUUGGCUCCUUCCUUGAAUGAAACCUGUGUGUGCACACCUGCACUGAGGGAGAGGCAAUCCACCAAGAAGGCAAUGAAGGU